rnacentral:rRNA from 1 species
CCCUUAGAGUUUGAUCCUGGCUCAGGAUGAACGCUAGCGACAGGCUUAACACAUGCAAGUCGAGGGGCAGCACGAUGUAGCAAUACAUUGGUGGCGACCGGCGCACGGGUGAGUAACGCGUAUGCAACCUACCUAUCAGAGGGGAAUAACCCGGCGAAAGUCGGACUAAUACCGCAUAAAACAGGGGUUCCACAUGGAAAUAUUUGUUAAAGAAUUAUCGCUGAUAGAUGGGCAUGCGUUCCAUUAGAUAGUUGGUGAGGUAACGGCUCACCAAGUCCACGAUGGAUAGGGGUUCUGAGAGGAAGGUCCCCCACACUGGUACUGAGACACGGACCAGACUCCUACGGGAGGCAGCAGUGAGGAAUAUUGGUCAAUGGGCGAGAGCCUGAACCAGCCAAGUCGCGUGAAGGAUGAAGGAUCUAUGGUUUGUAAACUUCUUUUAUAUGGGAAUAAAGUGAGGAACGUGUUCCUUUUUGUAUGUACCAUAUGAAUAAGCAUCGGCAACUCCG